rnacentral:tRNA from 1 species
GGGCCGGUAGCUCAGUUGGGAGAGCGUCUGAAUGGCAUUCAGAAGGUCGUGGGUUCGAUUCCCUUCCGGUCCACCA